GAUGAACGCUAGCGAUAGGCCUAACACAUGCAAGUCGAGGGGCAGCGAGGGGUAGCAAUACUCUGUCGGCGACCGGCGCACGGGUGAGUAACGCGUAUGCAACCUACCCAUAACAGGGAGAUACCCCGUUGAAAAACGGACUAAUAUCCCAUAAAACAGGGGUCCCGCAUGGGAAUAUUUGUUAAAGAUUUAUCGGUUAUAGAUGGGCAUGCGUUCCAUUAGCUUGUUGGUGAGGUAACGGCUCACCAAGGCAACGAUGGAUAGGGGAACUGAGAGGUUUAUCCCCCACACUGGAACUGAGACACAGACCAGACUCCUACGGGAGGCAGCAGUGAGGAAUAUUGGUCAAUGGGCGAAAGCCUGAACCAGCCACGUCGCGUGAAGGAAGACGGCCUUAUGGGUUGUAAACUUCUUUUAUACGGGAAUAAAAAAGGGGAUGCGUCCCCUAUUGCAUGUACCGUAUGAAUAAGCAUCGGCUAACUCCGUGCCAGCCGCCGCGGUAAAAC
rnacentral:rRNA from 1 species